rnacentral:lncRNA from 1 species
CUCGAAACUUCCCUACCUCCUUUCAUCGCCUGAUCUAUUCCUCACCUUUUUUCAAAGCUCCUGGUUCUUCUAUCGCAGAAAUUCCUCUUGUCGCUAGACAUUUGCUCACACUGGUCCUUCUUCUUCAAUUAAUCCCUGUUUCCCAUUCCCCUCUCCCCUUCACCGUCCCCCCACUCCCUUUGUGGCCAGCUCUUACUCAUUCAGCAAGUCUCACUCAAGAUUUCUUUUUUUCUGGGGUUCCCGUCGUGGUGCAGUGGGAACGAGUCCCACUGGGAACCAUGAGGAUGUGGGUUUCAUCCCUGACUCGCUCAGUGGGCUAAGGAUUUGGCGUUCCCGUGAAAUGUGGUGUAGGCUACAGAUGCGGCUCAGAUGCUGUGUUGCUGUGGUUGUGAGGUCGGCCAGCAGCUGUAGCUCCGAUUUGACCCCUAGCCUGGGAACCUCCAUAUGCCGCAAGUGCGGCCCUAAAAAAGCCAAAAAAAAAAAAAAAAAAAAAUUUCUUUUUUCCAUGAAACCUUUACUUUCNUUUUUGCCUUUGUCCUUCUUAUGAUCUCUCAGUUGCCCCCUCUUCCUAUCUUAUCACACAAGUUCACAGCCUCAAAGGACUUCCUUUUUUCUACCAUAUGACCCAGUGUUGGGUCCUCAUUAUCUCAUUCAGAGCCUGAGACUUAGCCUCAAGGUGUGACUUUCUACUGCAUUUCUCCCUAUCCAGAAUUUUGGAUGCUUUUCAUAAAGUGAAGGAGAAAAUCAUAUCACCCUGCUCAAAAAUUAUCACUAAAGUUUUAAUUAGUACUUAAUUAAUUCUUACUUACUUAAGCCUACCGUUACAGACUUUCCAAACAAGAUUCCAGUCUCCUGUCCAACUCUUCUGACUGCUCCUACCCUGUGAGUGUCCUAUGAGGGCACCAAAUCAAACCAUUGGCUGCUUCCACUCUUUUCCUUCUCAGGUUCCCUGUGUAUUUCAUUCCCAUUUUCUGGCUUUCCUCCUUCCCCUCUCCAACCAAUUUUUUCAGCCAUCUUUUUCUUUUUUUUUUUUUAGGGCUACAACCAGGGCAUAUGGAGGUUCCCAAGCUAGGGGUCGGAGCUGUAGUCACCAGCCUACACCACAGCCAUAGCAUCUCGGGAUCUGAGCUGCAUCUGCUACCUACACCACAGCUCAUGGCAACACCAGAUCCCUAACCCACUGAGUGAAGGCACGUAUUGAACCUGCAUCCUCAUAGAUGCUAGUCAGAUUCGGUUCCACUGAGCCACGAUGAGAACUUCUCAGCUAACUUUUAGGGUGCUCCUUCUUCCGUUCUGCCAUGAUCUGCUUUUCGGCAUUUUUGUUUUUGUUUACAUCACACGUUCAGUCUCACAUACACAAGGAAAUAGAAUAGAGCUUUAUCUAACACUACUCUUAAGCACGGUGAUUAAGAGAAUUGGUCAAGGAGCCAAACUGCUUGUGUUUUAACAGUUCUCUCUCUAUUUCCCUGUGGCCUCAGAGAUGCUGUGUAACCUCUCCUUGCCUUAGCGUUCUUAUCUCUAAGAAGGAAGAAAUUUGUGCCUACCUUACAGGGUUAUUGGCCAGAUUGAGUGAAUGAAUCCAUGUCAAACACAAAGACAGUAUCUGGCACAUAGUAGGUUCUUCAUAAAUAUUGUUAUUGUUAUAGAUUGUCUAAGUGAGAAACACUUUAUUGUAAUGGAGUGUUUUUUUCACAAGUCAUCAAAUACACAAAAGGAAAGAAAAGAAGGGAGCUCGUCACCAAUGACUAAAUUAUUUGAGUAAAGGUUUAGGGAAUUGGUAAAUUAAGGCAUUCUCUACUUCAUUUUGGGCUUGAGUAUUAAGGCAAUACCAUAGAACCAUUUUAAUCUAAUUUUGAACCAUUUCCUCCGGGGUUUUUAAGAGUUUCAUUAAAGAAAUCUCAAAGUAAAGAUGGCUACUUUUUUUUUAACACUGAAUUUUCAAGCUCCUUAGAGUAAAGGUAAGAUCUGUGCUUUUUUUUUUUUUUUUCAUUUGAGCUUUUGAUGUCUUUUCUCUCUUAUAUCACUUCCAUUAAUGAGAAAGCCUUCCAAAUCAUGGUUUAGCCUGUCUACUUAAUUGCGUUUCUCAAGAAUAACAGGCUGUUUUAUAAUAAUUGCCUGAAUGACUAGAUUAAAAACGAAGAUGAGAACAAGUUGAAGAAUUCACUUCAGUUUGAAAAUGUGACUUCCAGUUGACCCUCGAGAAAUGUGCUGUGCAAAAUGCAUUCGCCUCGACAGAAACACUGGUCUGUGUUAGUUUGUGUAGUUAGUAUUGAAGGUAUGCCUGCAGUGGGGCAAAUAGUCUCUAGCAAUAACCAAAUUCUCAGUGAAUUUGGAAUAGAGUGGCCUGAAACAGGGACUAUGGAUACCAUAGCAGGUGGCACAUUUCUUUUAUCUUCUCUGGUGAUGCGAAGUCAGUCUUUCUCCGUCACCUCACCUAAACCUUCCUUCUCCACAGCCCCUCUACCUCUGCCUCUAAGAUGCUCAAAAGCUGGGAUGACAUUCAUAUGGCACAGAUCACUUCAUUCUGGGUUGGGCAUCAUAACACAUUUGUCCAUCAGAGGUUUGGGGAGAGCAAAUGUCAGAAAUCUCAGUCAAUUUAUCUCAAGCUAAUAGUUCAAGGGAUGGAUUAAGAGAUUUGGAAUAUGGUUUAUUGAUGCAUGACACUGGCAGGCCCAGGAAAAACUGACCUUGGAAAUCAAAGUACUCAGAUGUUGGCAUCACAUAUCCCCCUUCUUCCUCUUUGUCCCAUUUUUCUCAGCUAUGCUUCUCUGUAUUUAUUUUUUCCUACAUGACGCAAGGUUUAGAGGGGCAUAUGGUGGCAAUUAUUUUCAGACAUAUAUUACUUUAGCUUAGUUACCCAGAAGGAAGACAGUCUUUUUCUCUCAUUGAACUCAUGAAAUUCCAGGGAACAACUCUGAAUUUGCUCUGGUCUUCUGGCCAACUGUUGGCUUAGACACUGUGAAUACAGGUUCAAAGAUGUGUAACUGGCUAGGUUCUUGGCAGAAUUCAAGUAUCAGGAUUGAGAACCUUAUCACGUGAAUUGAGAAUGGGAAACCCCCCAAGGAGAGAGCAGAAAAUGGGAAUGGCACUGGGCAGACACAAGUAGCAGGUGUCCCUUACUUUUCACAAACCUGACCUUGAUUAUCUUUCACUUUUGACACCAUUGCUCUUUUUUCACCUCAACCCUCUUUGUGUAAUAGUAAUAUUUUUUAUAGUUGGGUUUUAACAUCAUUUUAUUCAUCCAUUGAGUGUAUUAAAGCAUCUGUAUCUUUGUGAUGCAGGGUAAUACAUAAUUGGGGAACACAAGUUGCUUGCUUCUUAAAGGAAACUCCAUGAUGUAUUCUUUUAUAAUGCAUAAUUAACCUUCUAGAUGAGGGUUCUUAGACCACAUUCAUCAUUAUAAUUCCCUGGAAAUUUAAGAGACAAAGAGAGAGAGAGACCUGGUUUAGUAUAUCAAGUUGAAGACUGGGGGUAUGAAUGAUUAAGAUGAUUUAAUGAUUAUUCCAGUUCUGUUGAC